GUGCCAGCAGCCGCGGUAAUACAGGGGGGGCAAGCGUUGUUCGGAAUUACUGGGCGUAAAGGGUCUGUAGGUGGCCAACUAAGUCAUCCGUGAAAUCCCUCAGCUUAACUGGGGAACUGCGUGUGAUACUGGUUGGCUUGAGUGCAGGAGAGGAACGCGGAAUUCCAGGUGUAGCGGUGAAAUGCGUAGAUAUCUGGAGGAACACCGGUGGCGAAGGCGGCGUUCUGGACUGCAACUGACACUGAGAGACGAAAGCCAGGGGAGCAAACGGGAUUAGAAACCCUUGUAGUCC
rnacentral:rRNA from 1 species